rnacentral:rRNA from 1 species
GACGAACGCUGGCGGCGUGCUUAACACAUGCAAGUCGAACGGAAAGGCCCUUCGGGGUACUCGAGUGGCGAACGGGUGAGUAACACGUGGGUGAUCUGCCCUGCACUUUGGGAUAAGCCUGGGAAACUGGGUCUAAUACCGAAUAGGACUACGGCCUGCAUGGGUUGUGGUGGAAAGCUUUUGCGGUGUGGGAUGGGCCCGCGGCCUAUCAGCUUGUUGGUGAGGUUACGGCUCACCAAGGCGACGACGGGUAGCCGGCCUGAGAGGGUGACCGGCCACACUGGGACUGAGAUACGGGCCAGACACCUACGGGAGGCAG